AUUGAACGCUGGCGGCAGGCCUAACACAUGCAAGUCGAACGAGUGGCGGACGGGUGUGUAAUGUCUGGGAAACUGCCUGAUGGAGGGGUAUAACUACUGGAAACUGUAUCUAAUACCGCAUACCAUCAGAUGUGCCCAGAUGGUAUUAUCUAGUUGGUGGGGUAACGGCUCACCAAGGCGACGCUCCCUAGCUGGUCUGAGAGGGUGGCCAGCCACACUGGAACGGAGACACGGUCCAGACUCCUACGGGAGGCAGCAGUGGGGAAUAUUGCACAAUGGGCGCAAGCCUGAUGCAGCCAUGCCGCGGGUAUGAAGAAGGCCUUCGGGUUGUAAAGUACUUUCAGCGGGGAGGCGUUACCCGCAGAAGAAGCACCGGCUAACUCCGUGCCAGCAGCCGCGGUAAUUC
rnacentral:rRNA from 1 species